rnacentral:rRNA from 1 species
GAAGGUGGGUUUGGUUAGGAAAAGUUACUUUAAGUCCAUUGGAAAAAGGCGCCAUGGAGGGUGAUAGCCCCGUAAAAGUAUCCCUUUUCCUUUUAUCCAUUCCCUCCAAAGAGUCGAGUUGUUUGGGAAUGCAGCUCUAAGUGGGUGGUAAAUUCCAUCUAAAGCUAAAUAUUGGCGAGAGACCGAUAGCGAACAAGUACAGUGAUGGAAAGAUGAAAAGCACUUUGAAAAGAGAGUGAAAAAGUACGUGAAAUUGUUGAAAGGGAAGGGCUUGCAAGCAGACACAACCUCGGUUGGGCCAGCAUCGGAGUGGGGGGAGACAAAAAAGAAAAGGAAUGUAACUCAUUGAGUAUUAUAGCCUUUUUCUCAUAUCUCCACCCCCUUCCGAGGCCUGCGAUUCUUCAAGGAUGCUGGCGUAAUGGUUGCAAGUCG